AAAAAGACAAACCCUAGGUUUCCGUGUCCAAUAUUUGACCGUCCGUCUUAUAUGAAAUUUUUUAUAAUUAGUAUUUUUAUUGUUGUUAGAUGAUAAAACAUGAUUAAUACUUUAUGCGUGACUUGUAUUUUUAAUUUUUUUCAUAAUUUUUUCAAAUAAGACAGACGGUCAAAUGUUAGACACGAAAACUUAGGGUUUGUCUUUUU
rnacentral:pre_miRNA from 1 species